rnacentral:rRNA from 1 species
AACGAACGCUGGCGGCAUGCCUAACACAUGCAAGUCGAACGAGACCUUCGGGUCUAGUGGCGCACGGGUGCGUAACGCGUGGGAACCUGCCCUUAGGUUCGGAAUACCUCCCCGAAAGGGGUGCUAAUACCGGAUAAGGUCUUCGGACCAAAGAUUUAUCGCCUUUGGAUGGGCCCGAGUUGGAUUAGCUAGUUGUUAGGGUAAAAGCCUACCACGGCGAGGAUCCAUAGCUGGUCUGAGAGGAAGGUCAGCCACACUGGGACUGAGACACGGCCCAGACUCCUACGGGAGGGAGCAGAGGGGAAUAGUGGAAAAUGGGCGAAGGCAUGAUGCGGCAAUGACGGGAGAGUGAUGAAGGCCUUAGGGUUGUAAAGCUCUUUUACCCGGGAUGAUAAUGACAGUACCGGGAGAAUAAGCUCCGGCUAACUCCGUG